CCAUGUCAUAAUAGAUUGCUCCGCUCGUAAGGUUUGAAAUCAAAUGUUCAAUCACACUACAACGUUGCAUAUAUAGGUUAGUAAGUUGAGCGCAAAUGAUGUCAGUAUUAAUUAUGACACCCACAAGCGGAACACUAUUCAGAUUACGGAAACCUUCAUAUUUCGGGGGUGGUGUAGGCAUACAGUGACUUAGAUCAGAUGAGUCAAUUCUGAACAUGAAAACAAAUAAGAUGGUAUUUUGUAGGCACUGGUUGUACGAUUGUGAAGUUUCACUUCCCUAACUCCACAGUUUGAUAUGUUUUUAAUCCAAAUAUCUAUAUCUGAAUAGAGAUGAAGAGGCAGAUCAUUAGGAUUGCAAAGAAUAAACUUCAAUAUGAGACCUCCACGAGAUAAAAGAAUACUGCUGCCGGUUAUUGAAAAUUCAUAAAGUAAGUUUAGUUUCUCUAAUUCUGAAAGGAAACCUCUGAGAAAGCCGGUUGAAGAAAAGGUCAUCAAAAACUAGGUGUGAGUGCAUUUCCCAUUUACCCCUCUAUUUUUUUGAGAGAAUGCUCAUUCUUGCUACACAGUCAACCGGCAAUCACUUUUGAAUUAGGUAUAGUAAGUCACUGGGCAUGUCACUUUUGAAUUAGACCUUAUUCUAAAGCGAUUGCCGGUUGACUGUAUUGCAAGAAUGUGCAUUCUCUCAAAAACAUGGAGAGGUAAAUGAGAAAUGCACCCACACCUAGUUUUUGAUGACCUUUUCUUCAACCGGCUUUCUGAGAGGUUUCCUUCGAGAAGUAUAGAAACUAAACUAUAUGAAUUUUCAAGAACCGUCAGCAGUAAUCUUUUAUCUCAUAGUGGUCUCAUAUUGAAGUUUGUUCUUUGCAUUACUCAUGAUUUGUUUCUUCAUCUCUAUUUAGAUAUAGAUAUUUGGAUUAAAAACAUAUCAAACAAUGGAGUUAGGGAAGUGCAACUUCAUAAUCGUACAUUGAGUGCCUACAAAAUACCAUCUUAUUUGUUUUCCGGUUCAGAGUUGACUCAUUUUCCAUAAUUUAAUUAGUGUUUCACUUGUGGGUGUCAUAAUUACUACUGCCAUAUCAUUUGGGGCAAAACUUAUGGACCUACAUUUACAACGUUCAUCAUUUGCGUACUAAUGUCUUCUGUUAACCUUGUAUGUAGGAACCUGAUGUGAAGUGGUAGUAUGUUAUGCACAAGGUGGAAACCUGGGAACGUAUGGUGUCAUCGGUUACACAAUAUUUGCAAUCACUACACUUGAUUGGCAUGGCUUUUGACCAACUCGAAACUGUGGAAUUAUAUGGAGUGAAUCUUUCGUUUGAACUUCAGUCCAUAAAGCUUUUGCUUGCAUCUUCUCCUUCGCUUAAAUUGAUGAGAAUUUAUUACAUGAUUCAUGACCAUGAAGAAGCGUUCAGGGUUUCGCAAGAGUUAAUGAGGUUCGCUCGAGCAUCCCAACUGCAGAGAUUAUAUGGAAGUAACUAGACGUAUUGGUAGGUUUGAUUUGGAAGUUAACGUUGAACCAUAUGAACUCCUUGGGAUUGUUUAUUUUGUGGUUGCGGAAUCAGACCCCUCUUCGUGGCUCUAGAACUUGAGAUCUUUUUUCUGGAUUUAUUAUGUUUAAUUUCAAUGACAGCAAAGUUUUUAGUAUACUUAUAUAUUCUGGGUUUAUUUAAGUUUUUGGUUUAAUGGCGUUCAUGUUUAGAGUUCCGUAAACUGGAGGCCACACAUGUAGUCAUGGUUGCUCCUCUAUUUGGCAAUCAUAUUUUAGGUGCUCUCUUGAGUGUAAUUGUUUAUUUGUUUGUCAUAUUUUGAUGGUUUAACUCUGACUGUCCUUCCUCGAAACUAAAAUGCCUUGAACUAGCAGUCACUCUUGUUUUCGGAAGUCGGAGUGUUGCUCUGUUUGACCCACCCUGUUCUGUACUUUUUCCGAUCUUGGGUGUUGCUUUGUUUGCGCCCCAUUGUUACAAGCAUCAGGUCCUUACGGAAGAGGAAGUGCUUAUCUAAAAGCUGAACAUUUGUCUUCACUGAUGGAAGUUUCUCUCUUUGUAUGCUGUUUAUUCUGGAACAGCUAUAUAGAAUAGCACAUUUACUGACAUUACUUUGAAAUUCUCUUAUCCUUUUCUUGGUAUGUUUAAACCCCUAUGGAAGUCUUUAUUAUUUUCACGAAAUGGUUGAUUGCAGAAAUUUUAAUGCACGUCUCUCCCUGGGAUUUGAACAUGCAACCCUCACAGUUUUACACAAAAAAUAUUCACUACGCCACUAAGAAGUCUCCUUUGGUACUAUUUAUUUGGAAUAUCAGUUUUGUCAUUUCAGUUUCUCGAAAGAAAAAACAUAUCUACUUGCCAUGUUUCUUAUAUGUAAAUCUUGCCUGCUAUUUGCUCAUGUGUUGGUAGUUGUGGACCAAUUUGACGGGUCUUGAGUUUAACUGUCACAAUUUUCAAAAAAAAAGUUCUCAGAUAUUAUUGCGGGAGAAGAUGAUCAUCACCUACCACCUUACAAUCCAAAACAUUAGAUUGCGCAUCGUUUAUCCUCUUUUUCUUCUUAACCAUCUAUUGUUUUAAGACCUAAACGCUAUUUCAUGUAGAUUUUUUCAGGUGGAUGCAUUCACAGAAUCAGCGUUCAAGGGAAACCCAGCUGCAGUUUGUUUGUUAGAAGAGGAAAAAGAUGAGAAAUGGCUACAAUUGGUGGCCACUGAGUUCAAUCUCUCCGAGACAUGUUUCUUGACUAGGAUUGACUUGGAUUCGCCUAAUCCCAGGUUUCACCUCACAUGGUUCACUCCUGUUGCUGAGGUUCACUUGCUCUUGAUUCUUGUCUGUUUUUUGGGGUUUUAUGAUUCCCCGGGUGUCGAAUUCUGGUCUUGGGUAUUGGGUUUGUGUAAAAAUUUGAUCUUUUUGGUGGUAGCGGUCUUGAAUUGAAUUUGUGUAUUGGGGUUGCUUAAAGAUUUGAUCUCUUUGGUGUUAGCAGUCUUGAAUUUAACAUGGGGCAAUAUAAAGUUGAUUUAGACAUUCAAGCGGACGUAAUAACAAAUAAGUAUGAUAUGCAUAUUAAAUCCCUUUGUUACUGAGGUUCAGUUACUAUUGAGUCUUGUCCAUCUUUUUUGGUUUUUGUGAUUCCCCGGAUGUCUAAUUUUGAUCUCGUUAGUAGCUCAUUUAUUUGUGUAUUGGGUUUACGUAAAGAUUUGAUCUUUUUGGUGUUACUGGUCUUGAAUUUGAAUUUGGACAAAAUAAAGUGAUUUAAAAAAGUUAGUUUGGAGUUUGGACACUCAAGCUGAAUAUUCCCGCAAAGAUGGCUUUUCGAGUAAAUUAAGUAUGAUAUACAUAUUAAACCGCUUUAGUAAUAAUUUAAAAUUCUAGUGGAGUUGGUAACUUGAUAGAUAUUAUGAACGUUCAAUAUGUUAUUGCUUUGCUCAUGUAAUAGGUAAAGCAUGAACAACCAUGUCUUUUUUUAAUCAUGCCAUAUCACUGCUACUUUGUCAGUUGUCAUUUUAAUUGAAUGUUGAAUAAAACAUGCAUUAUUAGACUAUGUUUUAUUGGAUAGCCACAGGUGGUGGUUGCUUUAUCUUCCCAUCUGAAACGGGUCUAAGCAAUCAUAUGUGUGAUAUCUAAAACUGAUGAAGAUAGUGGCUUUCUUUAUAUCAAAUUUACCAAUUGCUGGAUAAGUCAUUCGUAGCCGGCUUUUUAUAGUUUACGAAGACUUGCUAGUUUUCAUCUCUAUGCAUAAUGUCUGCUUACAGGUUAAACUUUGUGGCCAUGCAACUUUGGCGGCAUCCCACUUCAUCUUCUCAUCUGGUUUGGUGAAAGUGAAUGUGAUCGAGUUCAUGACACUGUCUGGAGUUUUGACUGCUAGGAGUGUUUCAAUGCCUGAAGUUUCUGUAUUAUCACAGUUGAAAAGUGAUGGUUUCUGUACAGAGUUGGAUUUUCCUGUCGUGCCACUGGUUGAAUAUACUUCUGCUGAGGUGUCUAACAUUUCACAAAGUUUAAAUGGCGCCUCUAUUGUUGACAUCAAGAAAAGGUCUACAGAAAAGGACUACAGAAGAUGACCUCCUUGUAUGUGUUUGGCUUUGCUCUAACAUUUUGUUAAUAUCAUUACCAUGUGGAUACAUUCUUUUUGGAAAUUGUUUAUGAUGGGGCUAACAUAUCUUAACAGUGAAAUGUUAUAUACUACUGCCAUUGUUUCUUGCUUUGGAAAAGUUAAUAUUUUGUAUCUGAGGAAUGUAAAAGUCAUCUAAAAAUGCAGGUUGUGCUCUCAGCUGGAAAGACUGUUGCAGAAUUACAGCCGAUGUUUGAAAAGAUACAGAAACUUCCUUGCAGAGGAAUGACAGUAACAGCGCUUGCUCCCUCUGAAUCUGGGUUUGACAUAUACAGCCGCUUCUUUUAUCCUAAAUAUGGGAUUAAGGAGGUAAACAUUAAUCUAAAUAUCAGGAUUCAUUUAUAAUUUUCGAAACCUUUGGAGUUUUCUCAUAGUCUUGCUACACUUGGUAUGUGGUAGUGUCUUCAUAACCUGUCUACCUUCCGGAUACAUUCUUGUCUUUCUUUUCUUAUGUGUAGAAUUCGGAUAUUCCAUUUGUCCUCCACCCGCCUUUCAUUAUAGUUCAUUUGCUAGAUUAUUUGUAUAAUGUUGAAUACAAAACUAAAUUUAAAUUGUCUAUCCUUAGCCUCCUUGCUGCUUAUUGUCUGUGGAUAUACAGGCACGCGCUGUUUUAAGGGUGAAAUUUAGUUGAAUCCGGGUUUUCAAUAGGGGUGCUAGUUUUUAUGUCUUCCCCUAUAGACUAUAGUUACAGGCACCAGGUAAUUAACUAAAGAAAGAGCUUAUCUAAAAGUUGAACAUCUGUCCUGAGUGCUGGGACUUGAUACAAUCGGUAACCUCUUUAAUGCGUGCAAUUUUAUUUCAGGAUCCUGUCACAGGCAGUGCACAUUGUGCCUUGGCACCCUAUUGGUGCCAAAAGCUGGGAAAAAGUGAUCUUGUUGCAUAUCAGGUGAUUGUCCUUAGUGCUCACUGCUCACUCUCUCUGCCUAAUUCUAUCAAAUGUGUAUGCACACACUGAUUUGAUAUUUGAUCCAUUUGGAGCUUGUUCAUUAAACUCACUAUUCAACUUUGUGAUGUAGUAUUUCGUGAAUUCAGGCAUCAACUAGAGGUGGCUUCAUAAGAUUACAUCUAGAUGAGAGGAAUCAAAGGGUAAUGCUCCAAGGGAAAGCUGUUACUGUGAUGGAAGGUUCUCUCCUAGUUUAAAUAUGGAGGUAUUCCUAGAAUGCCUAAAAUGAACCGGGAGCUAUUCAUAAUUAAAACAUCAGAAUCUUAAGAUCAUUAUAUUGUGUCUGUAACAGUUUACUUAACAAGUUUUUAUAGCUAUUUCUUGAUGAACACUAUUUUCUUAAAUGUGUUGUUGAUAUGUGUUUCGUGCUAAUGAUUAUUGAUAAGUAGUACUUUUAUAGUUCUCUUAGAUAUAUUGCUUGCAAUUAUCUAGUUGAUUAAUUAUUGCAGUUGUGUUCACUCUUCAGAGUCACUGAAACCAAAUUGAGUUGGUAAUCUGUUUGUUGGCCUGACAAGUAACAUAAGUGAGUAUUUAUAAGUCAUUUUAUUCAACAAGUUCAAUAUAUCUAUUGCGAAGUAUUGUGCAAAGUAUGGAAAUUCGUAAAUAAUACUGGCAAAAUUGUGCCAAUAUUAUUUAGAUCACCUAACUUCACUUACGACCGAAAGAAAGCGUUGAUGAUUAUAUUCUUGCCAAGAUUCAUAUAUUUUUGCUGAUUGUAUACUAGCUUUUAGAAUAUGAAUUGAUAUUGAUUUUAAAUUAUAUUUAAUAAUUGGGAUUUCAUUUAAAAUGAUAGUAUAAAUUUGAUUGGGGUGACUGAAAAUUUUCGAUAUUUAUGACUAUUUAAAUUUGGAAGGUUAAUUUUGAAUAUUUAGAAAUUAUUUCAAGAAUUUACUCCGAUAGUCCUAUGUAAAAUGUGUCAGUUCCGUUUUGCAUAUAUUAAGACUUAUGUCAAAUGUAAUUAUAAAAGAGUUUUUGUAUUAUUAUAUUUUGGUAGUUAAUUUUUAUAGCUAACAAAUUUCAAAAAUAUAUAUUAUUUACACAUACAUCUUCAGAACAUAUUAAAAUAACUAGUAAGCUGCUCCAGAGCUCUUCAUCCCAAACAUGACGACGACUAGGAAAGAGGAAAAAAAAAUUCCAGUUCACAUUUCGAACCUGCUGGACAAGUAAGUUUUCUUUUAAUUUUCAAACAUGGAUUAACUUCUUAUUCAUUCAUUUACUUUUGUAAUGUAAUUGGAUCAAAUUUCUUGUAUAUAAUCCCAUGUGAAGCAAACACAUGAAUUUAGCUCUAUACAUUUCAGGCCUGGUUCUCAUUUCUAUGUAUACAACUUGGAUAGUUUUAUGAUUAAUAUGCUCGAUAUAAUACCAUGAUCUGAUAUUGCGUUUGUUGGAUGUUUAAUAAAUGUUAUCCAAACUAAUUGCCUCUAGUUGGUAAUGAUGUAAUUCGAUUUUCAUAGGUUGUUUUUGAUAUCAAUAAUCAAAUUUUUUAGAUAUGUGCAACAGAUCACUGUGAAUAUAUACGUAACAGGUCAGUGUGAAGUGUAAUAAGUAUGAGUGAAGUAUAUUUGAAUUUAUAACUCAAAUCCAAUGAUUUUAAUUGCUAAUUUGAGAAUGGAAUGGUACUGUUUAUGUCAAGUGUUCAUUUUCUUCUUAUUUGUGUACAACUUUAAUAACAUGUCAGAAUGCUAUUUAGUAUUAUUCCACCAGUCCAGGAGUAAUUCCUUUUCCUUAAAAUUUUCGAUAACUUCCCGGGGGCGUAGAAGGCUUAUUAAUAUAUAGAUUUUGUUAAGUAUCAACUCAAUAGAAGUAGUCCGGUGUUAAGUAAAUUCCUUGUCAUCAUGUACAUACGGGGUUGUUCCAAAUUGUGCAACAUAGGACUAAAAAGAACUUUUUCUUUGAGCUAAUUACCUUCACGCACAAGGUUCUCUUAUUUGCCAGAAGAAAAUAAUAAGAGUUCCUUGAUGAAAAAUUCCCAUGUCAUAAUCGAUUGCUCCGCUCGUAAGGUUUGAAACCAAAUGUUCAAUCACACUACAACGUUGCAUAUAUAGGUUAGUAAGUUGAGCCCAAAUAAUGUCGGUAUUAAUUAUGACACCCACAAGCGAAACACUAAUCAGGUUACGGAAACCUUCAUAUUUCGGGGGUGGUGUAGGCAUACAGUGACUUAGAUCAGAUGAGUCAAUUCUGAACAUGAAAACAAAUAAGAUGGUAUUUUGUAGGCACUGGAUGUACGAUUAUGAAGUUUCACUUCCUUAACUCCACUGUUUGAUAUGUUUUUAAUCCAAAUAUCUAUAUCUGAAUAGAGAUGAAGAGGCAGAUCAUUAGGAUUGCAAAGAAUAAACUUCAAUAUGAGACCUCCACGAGAUAAAAGAAUACUGCUUCCGGUUAUUGAAAAUUCAUAUAGUUUAGUUUCUCUACUUCUGAAAGGAAACCUUUGAGAAAGCCGGUUGAAGAAGAGGUCAUCAAAAACUAGGUGUGAGUGCAUUUCCCAUUUACCCCUCCAUGUUUUUAAGAGAAUGCUCAUUCUUGCUACACAGUCAACCGGCAAUCACUUUUGAAUUAGGUCUAGUGAGUCACUGGGAAUGUCACUUUUGAAUUAGACCUUCUUCUAAAGUGAUUGCCGGUUGACUGUGUAGACAUUCUCUCAAAAACAUGGAGGGGUAAAUGAGAAAUGCACCAACACCUAGUUUUUGAUGACCUUUUCUUCAACCGGCUUUCUCAGAGGUUUCCUUCCAGAAGUAGAGAAACUAAACUAUAUGAAUUCUCAAGAACCGUCAGCAGUAGUCUUUUAUUUCGUAGUGGUCUAAUAUUGAAGUUUGUUCUUUGCAUUCCUCAUGAUUUGUUUCUUCAUCUCUAUUUAGAUAUAGAUAUUUGGAUGAAAAACAUAACAAACAAUGGAGUUAGGGAAGUGCAACUUCAUAAUCGUACAUUGAGUGCAUACAAAAUACCAUCUUAUUUGUUUUCCUGUUCAGAGUUGACUCAUUUGAUUCUAAGUUGUUGUAUGUUCACACAACCCCGGAAAUUUGAAGACUUCCGUAAUCUGAUUACUGUUUUGCUUGUGGGUGUCAUAAUUACAACUGACAUAACAUUUGGGGCUCAACUUACUGACCUACAUUUGCAACGUUGCAUUGGGAUUGAACAUUUGGGAUGUCAAUAUAAAUAUUAUAUCAAUCUCACUUUUCUGAGUAUCACCCAUUGUGGGGAAAUUGAUGGGCAAUGGUUUGGAUGCACCCGAAAGGUGAUUGAUUCUGUUCUCAUGUUAUAUGGAGCGGCAAAGAGCAUUGUGGAUUUGGAAGAGCUAGUUGACAAUAUGCCUAGAAUCCGUACUCUUCAUCUUGAUGGCUCUUUUCUUAAGGUAAUUAAAGUGAACCUCGUAAUCUCUCGUAAUGAGACUGGUGAGAUCUAAUUCCCGAAAUUCUGUUUUUGUUAUAGUUUUUUCUACUGGGUAUGAAAGACUUGCGGUCCUCUCUGUAAGUGAUAAUCACAUUCCACCCACUCUGGCUUAGAUUCUGCCUUGUUUUUCUUUCACUUAUUCUCCAGCUAUAUUUGUUCCUACUUUCUCUUUAUUAAUCACGUCAUAACAAUGUCCUCAUAUUAUCUGUAAUAGCAUUGUAUUGUAUUGUAUUUGAGUCCUGAUCUCUUUUUGUCGCAAGAGUUAAUGAGGUUCCCCCGAGCAUCCACAACUGCAGAGAUUAUAUGGAAGUAACUAGCCGUAUUGGUAGGUUCGUUUUGGAAGUUAAUGUUGAACCAUAUGAACUCCUUGGGAUUGUUUAUUUUGUGGUUGCAGAAUCAGAGACCCUUUUUGUUGCUCUUGAACGCGAGAUCUUUUUCUGGGUUUAUUAACUUCAAUUUCAAUGACAGCAAAGUUUUUGGUUUAUUUAUUUAUUUAUUUGUUCUGGGUUUUUCUUAAGUUUUUGGUUUAGAUGGCUUUCAUGUUUAGAGUCCCGUAAACUGUAGGCCACAUGUAGUUCUCUAUUUGACAAUCAUAUUUUUGGCGUUACAAGCAUCAGGUCCUUAAGUAACAGGAAGUUCUUAUCUAAAAGCUGAACAUUUUAUAUAUAGACACAAAAUUACACAAAUAUACGGAGAAAACACUCAUUUGAUCUAAAAUAAAUACAAAUAUUAUAAGAUAAAAAAAAUACUAUAUAUACAAUUUGAUAAUAUAGGUGUAACAUAAAUUAUUAUAUACAAUCUCGAGGUUGCGAAGUAGUUAUAACUAAUAUCACUUCUACAUUUUUCCCGAGUCAAAGAAAUACCGUAAGGGAGGUAUCUACUUUCCGCCUGUAUUUUAAAAUAUUUAAUGUAUAUUUAUAAAUUUUAAUCUUCAACUUUUUUUAGAUAAUAUAUUAAUUUAAUAUUUCAAACAAAUAAUGAGAUUUUAACAUAUUUUGCCUACCGGAUCAAACAGUACUUCAAAUAUCUCUAAUUUAUUAGAAACCUUUUUGAUAAAUUUUUACAAAACAAUUUAAAAACUUAUGUUUUUAAAUAAUAAGAUAAGAUAUAAUCAUUAAAAAAAUAUUAUAUAUUCAUUAUUUAGCAGUAAGUAUCUGAAAAUAAAUUUAGCUAAAUCAUGAGUGACAUAUUUUUUUUCUUUUUUCAACGCAAACUCUAAUAAAAAUCGUUAAAACCCUAGCCCAAAAAAAAAAACAAUUAAAUACGAUUUAAUAAAAACUCCUUAAAACCUUAGCCCAACGCAUCUAUGCUAUACUAUUAAAGCCGAAACAUUAAAAGUUUGGUCAGUCGGUACGCGGGCUUUUAUACGGGCUUUUAUAAUUAGCAGGCUUCAAACAAAAUUAGUGGGCUUCAAACAAAAUAUAAACAAAUCAAAAUAUAAAACAAAUAUACGAUCAAAACAUAAAACAAAUAUAAAACCUAUUUGACUAUACCACAACUAAAAUCAAACCUUAAAAAAUAUUAUAUUAUUACAGCCGAAGCAUUAAAAACUGUGUUGAACCUCGGUUACAAAUGUGUUGAAUGCACGAUUUAUUUACACGUUAUUUUUAAAACUUUGAUGUUUUUUCAAUAAUUUUCAAUAUGGGCCUAUCUAUAUACCGAUUAUUCUUUUUAACUAAAAUAUGUUAUUUUUUUUAUAUUUUCUAAUUAAAAAAACUCUAUUAUUUAAAAUAACAUCGAAAAACAUAGUAAUUAUCUUUUUAACUAUAACACAUUAUCAUUUUUAUAUAUUCUGACUAAAAAACAGAUACAAUUAACACGGGCUACAUAUAUCAUAAUUUUAUUCUCACAAUAAUAAUAGUUUACUAUACUAUUAAAGCCGAAACAUUAAAAAUUUGAUCGGUCGGUAGUUGGGCCAAAUUAUGGGCUUACUUAUAUAAUCAAUUAUCUUUUUAACUAAAUCUAUUAUCUUUUUUUGUAUUUUCUAACUAACAAAACUCAAUUUCCAAAAAUAAUAUUGGACAACAUAGCAACUAGUCAACUACCCUUUUUAACUAAAAAAUGUUAAUUUUUCAGAAUCCUAACUUAAAAAUCGAUUUUCCAAAAAUAACACAUGAAACAUUCAUAUAAAAAAGAUAUUAUAUAUCUAGAGAAGUGUUCUGGUACAAACUUACAAAUGUUUUUUGUUCAACACAUACAUAUAACUCGAGUUCAACAUUUUUUAAGAUAUUUUGUUGAACAUUGAUUUAAAUUGUGUUGAAGUAGUACAUAAACUAAUUUCUCAAUGUAAGAACUAAGUUAAACGUAUUAUAUAACCAAUAUUUAUCUUUCUAGACUCUACCCAAACCCCAGAGAUAUAGUUUAACCAUCUUUAUAAAUAUAUUCAACACAAUGAUAAUUAAUGUUCUACACCCAAUGGUGAACCUCGGUUACAAAUGUGUUGAAUGCACGAUUUAUUUACACGUUAUUUUUAAAAACUGUGAUGUUUUUUCAAUAAUUUUCAAUAUGGAUACUUUCGAUAACUAAAUAUUAACACGUUUGGAGAAUAAAAACAUUCAAAAAAAAAAGUUUGUAACUUAAAAAAUAUUUUAUUUGAUCAUAUUCUAUAUAUCUAUAUUAUUAUACUAUUAAAUCCGAAACAUUGAAAGUUUGGUCGGUCAGUACUUGGUCAAAAUACGGGCCUAUCUAUAUACCAAUUAUUCUUUUUAAUUAAAACUAGCUUAUAGCCCGUGCAAGGCACGGGAGCUUUUUAAUUAUUUAUAAACCUUUUAAAUACAUUUUAAAUGGUGUGAAAAAAUUUAAUUUAUAAAUAAUAAAUUAAAAUUGUAUGUAUCAUGCCAAAGUAUUAAAUUAUUAUCAAUUUUUAAAUUAUUUUAAGUAAAAUAUGUGACGCCAACUCUUAUUAGAUUAUAUUUAUAAAUGUCUUUUUAUAUUAGAAUUAUUAUGUGAUUAAAAUAUUUUUUAAAAAAUUUUUAUGGUUCGAGAUUAAAAUUGAUAAACACAGUUUGUUUUGAAUUAAGACGAUGAAUCAUAAACAUGUAAUAAGAUUGUAGAAUUUGUUUUGGAUUAAGAAAAUUUUUUUGUAUUCGUUCCUCACAUAAAUCGGGCUUAUUAAUUUUAGAAUAUAUUAGAUAAAAAUAAUUUUGUGACGACGCGAUUUAUAUGAUUCUACAAAUAAAAUUGGUAGAAAAUAUUUAUUUUCGAUUAAAAAAAAUCAUAAACAGGUGAAAUAUAGAAUUUGUUUUGGAUUCAGAAAAGGAAUUAUAAACAUGGAAUUAUAAACAUGCAAGUAGAUAUCAAUUGUCUUAUGGAACGGAAGUUAAUUUUAUUCUAAUCUAACGGUGCUUAUUUGUUCAAUAUACGAUCCGAUGGAUAAAUCUAAUUUUGUGACGGUGCGAUUUAUACGAUUCUACAAUUAAAAUUUGUAGGAAAUAUUUUUUUUGUAUUAAAAAAAACCAAAAACACAUGAAAGACGGAAUUUGUUUUGGAUUCAGAAAAGGAAUUAUAAACAUGCAAGUAGAUGUCAGUUUCCUUAUAGAACAAAAUUUAAUUUUGUUCUAAUCUAACGAUGCUUAUUUGUUCAAUAUACGAUCCAACGGAUGAUAAGCUUUUGGACCAUAAGACCAUGCGACCAAAUUAUCUCCCUUACGCUUAUUAUAUAUAAGUAUAUAAUAUGUUAUCUUUUUUUAUAUUUUCUAACUAAAAAAACUCCAUCAUUUAAAAUUAUAUGGAGAAACAUAGUAAUUACCUUUUUAACUAAAACACAUUAUCUUUUUUAUAUUUUCUAACUAAAAAACAGAUUUUCUACAAUUAACAUGAGCUACAUAUAUAAAAAUAUAAUAUUAUUAUAUAUAAUUAUUAAUAACUAACCUGUGAUAUUUUUCAACCAAAAUACAUUAACAUUAUUUUUAAAUACACUAAUGGACUCAAUUUAAAAAUAAUAUUAUAAAUCUAUAAUAUACUAUUAUACUGUUAAAUUCGAAACAUGAAAAGUUCAGUUAGUCAGUAGGUCUGUCGAAUUUGGUGAGCCAUGUGGUAUACGACCCACAACGUCUUUAUUUAUAACAUGUUGUAAUAUAUUUUUUAUUAUCAAUUAAAUUACCAAAACAUUUAAGUUAGUAUGAUGGGUCGGUAUUUAGUUUUACGCGUCUUUUUUAACUUAAUAUGUUCCAUACUAUAUUAUAAAGGGGUUUUCUCAUAAAUACCUAAGUCCAAAAUUAUUUUUGCAAAAUUACUACAUUUUUUGGAAAAAUUAUCAAAUUUUUGAAAAUAUUUGCAAAAAUACUGUAUGCAACCUGUUGCCACCACAUGCAACGAUACUUGCAACCAGAUGCAACCAUAUUUGCAACUCCUGGAGGCCAAUUAACUAAAGUUGCACCUGUUUGCAUCUAGCUUCAGACCGUAUUUUUGCAAAUAUUUUCUAAAAAGUUAGUGUUUUUAUAAUUUUCUUAAAAUAUAGUAAAAUCGCAAAAAAAUUUAGAAAAUGUAAUAUUUUUAAUAAAUUCUCUAUUAUUAAUUAUCAAUAACGAAAUAUUAAAAGAUUGAUUGGUUUAUUUAUAUCUGAUUUUAUAGAUCUCUCUAAAUUAUAACAUGAAAAACAAAUGUAUUUUAACAUUCUCUGUAAAAUAUAUAUGUUCGACCUAAUUUUUUAUUAGCCAUUUGACGAAAUUAACUAUUAAGAAUUUAUCAUUUGUUAAAUAUAAAAUUUAUUUAAUCAUAUUAUUCUAUCAUAAUUUUACUCUCAAAAUAAUAUUAGUUUAAGUUAAAAUAUAUACGAUAAAAUUACAAAUAUUAUAACCGCCCGUGCAUUGCACGGGUUAUAAGCUAGUGUAAGUUGUGAAUUAAAUAAUUAAUGUCGUCUCUAAUAAAAUUACUUAAAACUCUAGCCCAAGCCCAUGUAAGCUAUGAAUUAAAUAAUUAAAAGUGCUCUAAUAAAACUCCUUAAAACUCUAACUCAAACUCAUAUAAGCUAUGAAUUAGACAAUUAAACGCGCAUGGCCCAAGCCCAUGUAAUCCGUUCUAAUAAAACUCUUUAAAAUCCUAACCCAAACCCAUAUAAGCUAUAAGCUAUAAAUUAAAUAAUUUAAAGCGCUCUAAUAAAACUCCUUAAAACCCUAGCCCAAGCCCACAUAAGCUUUGAAUUUAAAUAUUAAACGGGGCUACUACAUUUCAAUUCAAACUUGUGAUUUACGCCAUUUUCUCAAAUGCCUGCGGCGGCUACUAUUCUGUAUUUCUGUAUAGUAAACCCUUUUUCUUGAUUAAAAAUCAACCCAUGACGAAGAAGCCUGUGUGGUAAUCUCAUUCUGUUAGUUAUACAUGCAUCAUUUUGUUUUUUACACACACAUAGAGUGAUGAUUUGCUAAAAAGAUUGAAUUUUUCAGGUGGAUGCAUUCACAGAAUCAGCGUUCAAGGGAAACCCAACUGCAGUUCAAUUGGUGGCCACUGAGUUCAAUCUAUCUGAGAGACAUGUUUCUUCACUAGGAUUGACUUGGAUUCGUCUUCACCUCAGAUGGUUCACUCCUGUUGCCGAGGUUCACUUGCUUUUGAUUCUUGUCUUAUUUUUUAGGUUUUUAUGAUUCCCCCGGUGUUGAAUUUUGGACUUGUGUAUUGGGUUUGUGUAAAGAUUUGAUCUUUUUGGUGGUAGUGGUCUUGAAUUGAAUUUGUUUAUUGGUCUUGUGUAGUGGGUUUGUGUAAAGAUUUGAUCUUUUUGGUGUAGCAGUCUUGAAUUUGAUUGGGGCAAAACAAAGUUAAUUUGGACAUUCAAGGGGAAGUAAUAACGAAGAUGUAUGAUAUGCAUGUCAAACCCCUUUGUUGCCAAGGUUCAGUUACUAUUGAGUCUUGUUCAUCGUUUUAGUUUUUCUGAUGCACACACUGGUUUCAUAUUUGAUCCAUUUGGAGCUUGUUCAUUAAUCAUCGCUAUUCUACUUUGUGACGUAGUAUUUUGUGAAUUCAGGCAUCAACUAGAGGUGGCAUCAUAAAAUUACAUUUAGAUGAGAGGAAUCAAAGGGUAAUGCUCCAAAGGAAAGUUGUUAUUGUGAUGGAAGGUUCUCUCCUAGUUUAUAUAUGGAGGUAUUCCUAGAAUCUUGAGAUCAUUAUAUUGUAUCUGUAGCAGUUUACUUAACAAGUUUUUUUACCAUUUACUGCAUAUAUUUUUUGAUGAACAUUGAACACUACUUUCUUAAAUGUGUUGUUGAUAUGCGUUUCGUGCUAAUGAUUAUUGAUAAGUAGUACUUUUAUAGUUCUCUUCGAUAGAUUGCUUGCAAUUAUCUAGUUGAUUAAUUAAUGCAGCGUAUUCAUGUACAGAGUUUGUUAAGUAUCAACUCAGUGGAGGUAGUUAGGUGUUAAAGUAAAUUCCUUGUCAUCAUGUACAUACGUGGUUGUUCAAAUUGUGCAAGAUAGGACUUAAAAGAACUUUUUCUUUGAGCUAAUUACCUGCACCCACAAUGUUCCCUUAAUUGCCAGAAGAAAAACAUAAUAAGAGUUGCUCGAUGAAAAAUUCCCAUGUUAUAACCGAUUGCUUUGCUCGUAAGGUUUGAAACCAAAUGUUCUAUCCUAGUGCAAUGUUGCAUAUAUAGGUCAGUAAGUUGAGCCCCAAAUAAUAUAUGUCAGUAUUAAUUAUGACACCCACAAGCGAAACACUAAUCAGAUUACGGAAACCUUUAUAUUCCGGGGGUGGUGUGGGCAUACCGUGACUAGACUCUGAUGACUCAACUCUGAACAUGAAAACAAAUAAGAUGGUAUUUUGUAGGCACUGGAUGUACGAUUAUGAAGUUCCAGUUCCCUAACUCCAGUGUUUGAUAUGUUUUUAACCCAAAUAUCUAUAUCUGAAUAGAGAUGUAGAGGCAGAUCAUUAGGAAUGCAAAGAAUAAACUCUAAUAUGAGACCAUUACGAGAUAAAAUAAUACUGCUGACGGUUCUUGAAAAUUCAUAUAGUUUAGUUUCUCUACUUCUGAAAGAAAACCUCUGAGAAAGCCGGUUGAAGAAAAGGUCAUCAAAAACUAGGUGUGUGCGCAUUUCCCAUUUACCCCUCCAUCUUUUGAGAGUAUGCUCAUUCUUGUUACACAGUCAACUGGUAAUCGCUUUUGAAUAAGGUCUAGUAAGUCGCUAGGCAUGUCACUGAUAAUAUCAACCGCGUCUUAACAAUCAAGCCGUCUUGUGUUAGCAAUACUAGUCAUAUUUCUGAAUAUUAGAAGAAGUAAGAACCAAACUGAAAAGAUGUACAAACAAUAAUACUAUAAUAUAAAUAUAAUUAAGUAUAUUUGUAGUGGCCAACCGGGUAGUAGCAAUUAAUCAAAUUUAUCGUAGCACAGAAUUUAAAGAACAUUAUAUCCAUAAGAGCCAUAUAUGUAAAUAAUUCAACUAAACCAUUAUCACAUUUGGAAAAAAGUGGCAAAUCAUUUUCGUAUAUAUUAGCGAAAGUUUAACAGUUAAUUAAAACCCCUAAAUCAAAGAUAGAAAAAGAUUAUGUGAGAUCAACAUACAUAAAAACAUUGAUUUAUUCAAAAAGUUGAUUCACACACACACACACAAACAUAUAUUUAAACAUUUAUAUAUUUGAUUCAUGUAUUGGUGGGAGUGAGACAUUAUGAGUGCGGUGGAAUGAGGAAAGAAAUGUGAGGAUUAGUGAUACAACCCUAAUUCUUAAUUAUGUAAUCUAUAUAACGAUGUCGUGUAAUAAGUUGACUGCAAGAUAUUUGCAUAUGCUAAAAAACCGUAUCGUGUGGAACAGAACAUUCUAAAAUGGCUAAACACAACACCGUUUAAGGAUAAUAUUUACAAAUCAAUUCUUUUUUUUUAUUUAUUUCCAUUUUAGGGGCAGUAUGCUGAUACUUGUGUACAGGGAAACAACUAUCAACAUAUGUAGACAUUCCCCUGCCUAAAUAACAACCCUCCUCCAAAAUGGAAAUAAAUAUAAAAAGAAAUGAUUUGUAGAUAUUAUCCUUAAACGAUGUCGUGUUUAGCCAUUCUAGAAUGUUCUUUUUCAUAUGAUGCCGUUUUCUAGCAUAUGCAAAUAUUUUGCAGUCAAAUUAUUACACGACGUCGUUAUAGAGAUUACAUAAUUAAGAAUUAGGGUUGUAUCGCUAAUUCUCACAUUCUUUCUCACUCCGCCGCGCUCAUGUUGUCUCACUCCCAGCAAAGGUAUCAAAUGUUUAUAUAUAUUUAUGUGUGUGUGUGUGUAUUUGAAUCAUUGUUUUUUUUGAAUAUAUCAAUGUCUUUAUGUAUGUUGAUAUCUCACAUAAUAUUUUUUUCCAUUUUUGCUUUAAGGGUUUUAAUUAAUUGUUGAACUUUCGCUAAUAUAUAUGAAAAUGGUUUUGGCACUUUUUUCCAUAUGUGAUAAUGGUUUAGUUGAAUUGUUUACAUACUCGGCUGUGAUGCAUAAAUGUUCAUUAAAUUCAGUACUAUGAUAAGUUUGAUUAAUUGUUACUACCCAGUUGGUCUUUAUAUAUUGUAGCAUUACUGUUUGUAAAAUUCUUUUCAGUUUGGUUCCUACUUCUUUUAAGUAUUCAGAGAUAUGCCCAGUGAUGCUAACACAAGGCGGCUUGAUUGUGGAGACGCAGUUGAUAUUAUCAGUGACCUGCCCAGUGACUUAUUAGACCUUAUUCUAAACCGAUUGCCGGUUGACUGUGUAGCAAGAAUGUGCAUUCUCUAAAAAUCAUGGAGGGGUAAACGGGAAAUGCACCCACACUUAUUUUUUGAUGACCUUCUCUCCAACUGGCUUUCUCGGAGGUUUCCUUCCAGAAGUAGAGAAACUAAACUAUAUAAAUUUUCAAGAACUUUUAUCAGUAUUCUUUUAUCUUGUAGUGGUCUCAUAUUGAAGUUUGUUCUUUGCAUUCCUAAUGAUUUGUUUCUUCAUCUCUAUUCAAAUAUAGAUAUUUGAAUUAAAAACGUAAGAAACAAUGGAGUUAGGGAAGUGCAACUUCAUAAUCGUACAUUGAGUGCCUACAAAAUACCAUCUUAUUUGUUUUCCGGUUCAGAGUUGACUUGUUUAAUUCUAAGUUACUGUAUGCUCACACCACCCCCUAAAAUUGGAGGCUUCCAUAAUUUGAUUAUUGUUUCACUUGUGGGUGUCAUAAUUACUAUUGCCAUAUCAUUUGGGGCUCAACUUAUGGACCUACAUUUACAACGUUCUCAGAUAUUAUUGCGGGAGAAGAUGAUCAUCACCUACCACCUUACAAUCCAAAACAUUAGAUUGCGCAUCGUUUAUCCUCUUUUUCUUCUUAACCAUCUAGUGUUUUAAGACCUAAACGCUAUUUCCUGUAGAUUUUUUCAGGUGGAUGCAUUCACAGAAUCAGCGUUCAAGGGAAACCCAGCUGCAGUUUGUUUGUUAGAAGAGGAAAAAGGUGAGAAAUGGCUACAAUUGGUGGCCACUGAGUUCAAUCUCUCUGAGACAUGUUUCUUGACUAGGAUUGACUUGGAUUCGCCUAAUCCCAGGUUUCAGCUCAGAUGAUUCACUCCUGUUGCUGAGGUUCACUUGCUCUUGAUUCUUGUCUGUGUUUUUUGGGGUUUUAUGAUUCCCCGGGUGUCAAAUUCUGGUCUUGGGUAUUGGGUUUGUGUAAAGAUUUGAUUUUUUUGGUGGUAGCGGUCUUGAAUUGAAUUUGUGUAUUGGGGUUGCUUAAAGAUUUGAUCUCUUUGGUGUUAGCAGUCUUGAAUUUAACAUGGGGCAAAAUAAAGUUGAUUUAGACAUUCAAGCGGACGUAAUAACAAAUAAGUAUGAUAUGCAUAUUAAAUCCCUUUGUUACUGAGGUUCAGUUACUAUUGAGUCUUGUCCAUCUUUUUGGUUUUUGUGAUUCCCCGGAUGUCUAAUUUUGAUCUCGUUAGUAGCUCAUUUAUCUGUGUAUUGGGUUGACGUAAAGAUUUGAUCUUUUUGGUGUUACUGGUCUUGAAUAUGAAUUCGGGCAAAAUAAAGUGUUUUAAAAAAGUUAGUUUGGAGUUUGGACACUCAAGCUGAAUAUUCCCGCAAAGAUGGCUUUUCGAGUAAAUUAAGUAUGAUAUACAUAUUAAACCGCUUUAGUAAUAAUUUAAAAUUCUAGUGGAUUUGGUAACUUAAUAGAUAUUAUGUACUUUCAAUAUGUUAUUGCUUUGCUUAUGGAAUAGGUAAAGCAUGAAUAACCACGUCUUUUCUUAAUUAUGCCAUAUCACUGCUACUUUGUCAGUUGUCAUUUUACUUGAAUGUUGAAUAAAACAUGCAUAAUUAGACUAUGUUUUAUUGGAUAGCCACAGGUGGUGGUUGCUUUAUCUUCCCAUCUGAAACGGGUCUAAGCAAUCAUAUGUGUGAUAGCUAAAACUGAUGAAGAUAGUGGCUUUCUCUAUAUUAAAUUUACCAAUUGCUGGAAAAGUCAUUCGUAGCCGGCUUUUUAUAGUUUACGAAGACUUGCUAGUUUUCAUCUCUAUGCAUGAUGUCUGCUUACAGGUUAAACUUUGUGGCCAUGCAACUUUGGCGGCAUCCCACUUCAUCUUCUCAUCUGGUUUGGUGAAAGUUAAUGUGAUCGAGUUCAUGACACUGUCUGGAGUUUUGACUGCUAGGAGGGUUUCACUGCCUGAAGUUUCUGUAUUAUCACAGUUGAAAAGUGAUGGUUUCUGUAUAGAGUUGGAUUUUCCUGUCGUGCCACUGGUUGAAUAUACUUCUGUUGAGGUGUCAAACAUUUCACAAAGUUUAAAUGGCGCCUCUAUUGUUGACAUCAAGAAAAGGACUACAGAAGAUGACCUCCUUGUAUGUGUUUGGCUUUGCUCUAACAUUUUGUUAAUAUCAUUACCAUGUGGAUACAUUCUUUCUGGAAGUUGUUUAUGAUGGGGCUAACAUAUCUAAACAGUGAAAUGUUAUAUACUAGUGCCAUUGUUUCUUGCUUUGGAAAAGUUAAUAUUUUGUAUUUGAGGAAUGUAAAAGUCAUCUAAAAAUGCAGGUUAUGCUCUCAUCUGGAAAGACUGUUGCAGAAUUACAGCCGAUGUUUGAAAAGAUACAGAAACUUCCUUGCAGAGGAAUGACAGUAACAGCGCUUGCUCCCUCUGAAUCUGGGUUUGACAUAUACAGCCGCUUCUUUUGUCUUAAAUAUGGGAUUAAGGAGGUAAACAUUAAGCUAAAUAUCAGGAUUCAUUUAUAAUUUUCGAAACAUUUGGAGUUUUCUCAUAGUCUUGCUACACUUGGUAUGUGGUAGUCUCUUCAUAACCUGUCUACCUUCCGGAUACAUUCUUGUCUUUCUUUUCCUAUGUGUAGAAUUCGGAUAUUCCAUUUGGCCUCCACCCGCCUUUCAUUAUAGUUCAUUUGCUAGAUUAUUUGUAUAAUGUUGAAUCCAAAACUAAAUUUAAAUUGUCUAUCCUUAGCCUCCUUGCUUCUUAUUGUCUGUGGAUAUACAGGCACGUGCUGUUUUAAGGGUGAAAUUUAGUUGAAUCCGGGUUUUCGAUAGAGGUGCUAGUUUUUAUGUCCUGUCUUCCCCUAUAGACUAUAGUUACAUGCACCAGGUCAAUAACUAAAGAAAGAGCUUAUCUAAAAGUUGAACAUCUGUCCUGAGUGCUGGGACUUGAUACAAUCGGUAACCUCUUUAAUGCGUGCAAUUUUAUUUCAGGAUCCUGUCACAGGCAUUGCACGUUGUGCCUUGGCACCCUUUGGUGCCAAAAGCUGGGAAAAAGUGAUCUUGUUGCAUAUCAGGUUAUUGUUCUUAGUGCUCACUGCUCACUCUCUGCCUAACUCUAUCAAAUGUGUAUGCACACACUGAUUUCAUAUUUGAUCCAUUUGGAGCUUGUUCAUUAAACUCACUAUUCAACUUUGUGAUGUAGUAUUUCGUGAAUUCAGGCAUCAACAAGAGGUGGCUUCAUAAGAUUUCAUCUAGAUGAGAGGAAUCAAAGGGUAAUGCUCCAAGGGAAAGCUGUUACUGUGAUGGAAGGUUCUCUCCUAGUUUAAAUAUGGAGGUAUUCCUAGAAUGCCUAAAAUGAACUGGGAGCUAUUCAUAAUUAAAACAUCAGAAUCUUGAGAUCAUUAUAUUGUGUCUGUAACAGUUUACUUAACAAGUUUUUAUAGCUAUUUCUUGAUGAACACUAUCUUCUUAAAUGUGUUGUUGAUAUGUGUUUCGUGCUAAUGAUUAUUGAUAAGUAGUACUUUUAUAGUUCUCUUAGAUAGAUUGCUUGCAAUUAUCUAGUUGAUUAAUUAUUGCAGUUGUGUUCACUCUUCAGAGUCACUGAAACUAAAUUGAGUUGGUAAUCUGUUUGUUGGCCUGACAAGUAACAUAAGUGAGUAUUUAUGAGUCAUUUUAUUCAACAUGUUCAAUAUAUCUAUUGCGAAGUAUUGUGCAAAGUAUGGAAAAUCGUAAAUAAUACUGGCAAAAUUGUGCCAAUAUUAUUCAGAUCACUUAACUUCACUUAUUACCGAAAGAAAGCCGUUGAUGAUUAUAUUCUUGCCAAGAUUCAUAUAUUUUUGCUGAUUGUAUACUAGUUUUUAGAAUAUGAAUUGAUAUUGAAUUGAUAUUAUAUUUAAUAAUUGGCAUUUCAUUUAAAAUGAUAGUAUAAUUUUGAUUUUGAAUUUGGAAGGUUAAUUUUGAAUAUUUAGAAAUUAUUUCAAGAAUUUAGUCCGAUAGUCCUAUGUAAUAUGUGUCAGUUCCUUUUUGUAUGUAUUAAGACUUAUGUCAAAUGUAAUUAUAAAAGAGUUUUUGUAUUAUUAUAUGUUGGUAGUUAAUUUUUGGGAUAUUUUUAAAAAUACCCAUCUGUAAAAUUAUUUUUUUAAAAAUACUACCAUCUUUUUCAUUGUUUUUAAAAAUACCUUUUCAUAAAUUUUUUUUUUCAAAAAUACGAUUUGCAACCUUUGCAACCUCAUUUGCAACCUUGGGCGGCGCAGCCGUAAAAGUUGCAAAUGAGGUUGCAAAAGUUGCAAAUAAAAAUGGAAAUGAGGUUGCAAAAGUUGCAAAUGAGGUUGCAAAAGUUGCAAAUAAAAAUGGAAAGUUGCAACAGUUGCAACUGCAAUUGCAACUAGUUCAACUGAAAACUGUAAGUUGCAAAAGUUGCAAAUGAGGUUGCAAAAGUUGCAACUGAGGUUGCAAAAGUUGCAACUGCAGUUGCAAAAGUUGCAACCUCAGUUGCAACUAAAUGCAACUGAAAACUGUAAGUAACAACAGAUGUAUGGUGUGCCCCUGGCGGGGCCGGUAGAUUACAAUAGAAUCAACUGAAUGCAACCAUAUGCAACUGAAUACAACCAUAUGCAACCAUAUAUGCAAUUACAAAUCCUGAUUUCAAGUUCCAGUUUUCGAAUGUCGUUUUCGACCUCAUUUUCGGAAUCGAUAUAUAUAUAUAUAUAUAUAUAUCUGUUCUGAUAUAAAGUCACUAUUCUCGUUAAAACUGCCUUUUGGUAGUUCUGAUAUAGUGACUCAAUAACUCAAUGAUUAAAGGCAGAAUUAAAUAGAUACUCUAGAAGCAAUGUAAAACACUUUUAUAUGAACGGUUUCAGAAAAAAGAUUAUUGAAAAUUUAGAUAUAAAACUGCUUUUACUACUCCCUUUGGUCACUAUGAAUGGAAUGUAGUUCCAUUUGGACUUAAAAAUGCCCCUAGUGAAUUCCAGAAUAUCAUGAAUAAUAUAUUUAACCCCUUUAGCCAUUUCUCAAUAGUAUAUGUAGAUGAUGUUCUUAUCUAUUCUAAUUCUAUUGAAGAACAUUGGAAACAUCUGAACUCUUUUUUCAAUACAAUUAAGACUAAUGGUCUAGUACUAUCACCAACUAAAUGUGUCUUAUUUCAGACAAAAGUAAGAUUUUUAGGUCAUACCAUUCAGUAUGGGAAAAUUAGACCAAUAGAUAGAUCAAUUGAAUUUGCUAGUAAAUUCCCAGAUGAAAUACUUGACAAAACCCAACUCCAAAGAUUUCUAGGAUCACUCAACUACAUAGGAGAAUUUUAUAAAGAUCUUAGGAAGCAAUGUAAACCAUUAUUCGAACGAUUGCAAAAUAAUCCCCCGCCUUGGACUUCUAUCCAUACUUCUAUUGUCCAAGAUAUUAAAAAAUAUGUUAAGACUCUUCCCUGUCUUGGCAUUGCUAAUCCUUCUGCAUUUAAAAUAGUAGAAACCGAUGCCUCUGAAGUUGGAUUUGGAGGUAUUCUUAAACAAAAAUUAAACCCUUCUUCACAUGAAGAAAUUGUUUGUUUUCAUUCAGGAGCUUGGGAUCAAACCCAACAAAAUUAUUCAACCAUUAAAAAAGAAAUUUUAAGCCUUGUCUUAUGCAUCAAUAAAUUCCAGCAUGAACUUUUAAAUCAAAAGUUUUUAGUCAGAAUUGAUUGCCAGUCAGCAAAAUUUAUUUUAGAAAAAGAUGUUCAAAAUAUUGCAUCAAAACAGAUUUUUGCCAGAUGGCAGGCUUUAUUAAGCAUAUUUGAUUUUGAUAUACAAUACAUUAAAGGAAGUGAAAAUUCUAUUCCAGAUUUUCUAACUAGAGAAUUUCUACAAACAGGAGUGAAAGAUGAGUGUGAGAGAUAACAAUAGCCAGGUUAUUAUAUAUAUAUAUAUAUAUAUAUCGAUUCCGAAAAUGAGGUCGAAAACGACAUUCGAAAACUGGAACUUGAAAUCAGGAAUUUGGUUGCAUAUGAAGUUGCAAAAGAGGUUGCAACACGGCUGGCGCCGCCUGGAGUUGCAGAUGAGGUUGCAAAAGUUGCAAACAGUAUUUUUGAAAAAAAGAUUUUAUGAAAAGGUAUUUUUAAAAAGAAUUCUGGAAGGUAGUAUUUUUGUAAAUAAUUAAAGAAAAGGUAGGUAGUUUUGUAGAUUUCCCUUAAUUUUUAUAGCUAACAAAUUUCAAAAAUAUAUAUUAUUUGCACAUACAUCUUCAGAACAUAUUACAUAAAUAAGCUGCUCCAGAGCUCUUCAUCCCAAACAUGACGAUGACUAGGAAAGAGAAAAAAAAAUUCCAGUUCACAUUUCGAACCUGCUGGACAAGUAAGUUUUCUUUUAAUUUUCAAACAUGGAUUAACUUCUUAUUCAUUCAUUUACUUUUGUGAUGUAAUUGGAUCAAAUUUUUUGUAUAUAAUCCCAUGUGAAGCAAACACAUGAAUUUAGCUCUAUACAUUUCAGGCCUGGUUCUCAUUUCUAUGUAUACAACUUGGAUAGUUUUAUGAUUAAUAUGCUCGAUAUGAUACCAUGAUUUGAUAUUGCGUUUGUUAAGUGUUUAAUAAAUGUUAUCCAAACUAAUUGCCUCUAGUUGGUCAUGAUGUAAUUCGAUAUUCAUAAGUUGUUUUUGAUAUCAAUAAUCAAAUUUGAGUCGAUAUGUGCAAGAGAUCGCUGUGAAUAUAUGCGUAACAGGUCACUGUGAAAUGUAAUAAGUGUGAGUGAAGUAUGUUUGAAUUUAUAACUCAAAUCCAAUGAUUUUAAUUGCUAAUUUAAGAAUGGAAUGGUACUGUUUAUGUCAAGUGUUCAUUUUCUUCGUAUAUGUGUACAACUUUAAUAACAUGUCUUAAUGCUAUGAAGUAUUAUACUAUUAUUCCACCAAGUCCAAGAGUAAUUCCUUUUCCUUAGAAUUUUCAAUAGCUUCCCGGGGGCGAAGAAGGCUUAUUAAUAUACAGAUUUUGUUAAGUAUCAGCUCAAUAGAAGUAGUCAGGUGUUAAGUAAAUUCCUUGUCAUCAUGUACAUACGGGGUUGUUCCAAAUUGUGCAACAUAGGACUAAACAGAACUUUUCCUUUGAGCUAAUUACCUUCAAGCGCAAGGUUCUCUUAUUUGCCAGAAGAAAAUAAUAAGAGUUCCUCGAUGAAAAAUUCCCAUGUCAUAAUCGAUUGCUCCACUCGUAAUGUUUGAAACCAAAUGUUCAAUCACUCUACAAUGUUGCAUAUAUAGGUUAAGCUGAGCCCAAAUGAUGUCAGUAUUAAUUAUGACACCCACAAGCGAAACACUAAUCAGAUUACAGGAAACCUUCCUAUUUCGGGGGUGGUGUAGGCAUACAGUGACUUAGAUCAGAUGAGUCAAUUUUGAACAUGAAAACAAAUAAGAUGGUAUUUUGUAGGCACUGGAUGUACGAUUAUGAAGUUUCACUUCCCUAACUCCACUGUUUGAUAUGUUUUUAAUCCAAAUAUCUAUAUCUGAAUAGAGAUGAAGUGGCAGAUCAUUAGGAUUGCAAAGAAUAAACUUCAAUAUGAGACCUCCAAGAGAUAAAAGAAUACUGCUGCCGGUUAUUGAAAAUUCAUAUAGUUUAGUUUCUCUACUUCUGAAAGGAAACCUCUGAGAAAACCGGUUGAAGAAAAGGUCAUCAAAAACUAGGUGUGAGUGUAUUUCCCAUUUACCCCUUCAUGUUUUUGAGAGAAUCCUCAUUCUUGCUACACAGUCAACCGGCAAUCACUUUUGAAUUAGGUCUAGUAAGUCACUGGGCAUGUCACUUUUGAAUUAGACCUUAUACCAAAGCGAUUGCCGGUUGACUGUGUAGCGAGAAUGUACAUUCUCUCAAAAACAUGGAGGGGUAAAUGGGAAAUGCACCCACACCUAGUUUUUGAUGACCUUUUUCUUCAACCGGCUUUCUCAGAGGUUUCCUUCCAGAAGUAGAGAAACCAAACUAUAUGAAUUUUGAAGAACCGUCAGCAGUAGUCUUUUAUCUCGUAGUGGUCUCAUAUUGAAGUUUUUUCUUUGCAUUCCUCAUGAUUUGUUUCUUCAUCUCUAUUUAGAUAUAGAUAUUUGGAUUAAAAACAUAACAAACAAUGGAGUUAAGGAAGUGCAACUUCAUAAUCGUACAUUGAGUGCCCACAAAAUACCAUCGUAUUUGUUUUCCUGUUCAGAGUUGACUCGUCUGAUUCUAAGUUGUAUGCUCACACCACCCCGGAAAUUGAAGACUUCCGUAAUCUGAUUACUGUUUUGAUUGUGGGUGUCAUAAUUACAACUGACAUAUCAUUUGGGGCUCAACUUACUGACCUACAUUUGCAAAGUUGCAUUGGGAUUGAACAUUUGAGAAUGGAAAGGCAUUUGUUUAUGUCAAGUGUUCAUUUUCUUCGUAUUUGUGUACAACUUUAAUAACAUGUCUUAAUGCUAUCAAGUAUUAUACUAUUAUUCCACCAAGUACAAGAGUAAUUCCUUUUCCUUAGAAUUUUCGAUGGCUUCCCGGGGGCGUAGAAGGCUUAUUAAUAUACAUAUUUUGUUAAGUAUCAGCUCAAUAGAAGUAGUCAGGUGUUAAGUAGAUUCCUUGUCAUCAUGUACAUACGGGGUUGUUCCAAAUUGUGCAACAUAGGACUCAAAAAAACUUUUUCUUUGAGCUAAUUACCUUCACGCGCAAGGUUCUCUUAUUUGCCAGAAGAAAAUGAUAAGAGUUCCUCGAUGAAAAAUUCCCAUGUCAUAAUCGAUUGCUCCACUCGUAAGGUUUGAAACCAAAUGUUCAAUCACACUACAAAGUUGCAUAUAUAGGUUAGUAAGUUGAGCCCAAAUGAUGUCAGUAUUAAUUAUGACACCCAUAUGCGAAACACUAAUCAGAUUAUAGGAAACCUUCAUAUUUCGGGGGUGGUGUAGGCAUACAGUGACUUAGAUCAGAUGAGUCAAUUUUGAACAUGAAAACAAAUAAGAUGGUAUUUUGUAGGCACUGGAUGUACGAUUAUGAAGUUUCACUUCCCUAACUCCACUGUUUGAUAUGUUUUUAAUCCAAAUAUCUAUAUCUGAAUAGAGAUGAAGUGGCAGAUCAUUAGGAUUGCAAAGAAUAAACUUCAAUAUGAGACCUACAAGAGAUAAAAGAAUACUGCUGCCGGUUAUUGAAAAUUCAUAUAGUUUGGUUUCUCUACUUCUGAAAGGAAGCCUCUGAGAAAGCCGGUCGAAGAAAAGGUCAUCAAAAACUAGGUGUGAGUGUAUUUCCCAUUUACCCUUCAUGUUUUUGAGAGAAUGCUCAUUCUUGCUACACAGUCAACCAGCAAUCACUUUUGAAUUAGGUCUAGUAAGUCACUGGGCAUGUCACUUUUGAAUUAGACAUUAUACCAAAGCGAUUGCCGGUUGACUGUGUAGCAAGAAUGUGCAUUCUCUCAAAAACAUGGAGGGGUAAAUGGGAAAUGCACCCACACCUAGUUUUGAUGAC
rnacentral:lncRNA from 1 species